rnacentral:lncRNA from 1 species
UCAUCAGUCCUCUUGUCAUCCACUGCUACAAAGCUUCAAAGUUCUCUUAAGCACUGCUUCUCUUGCCAUCACCCCCAUAGGCCCAAUGAGGUUUAGCAGCAGUGCGCUUCAAUGCCUUGACUCCCAAUGGGUUGUCCUUGCUCUGUUGCAUUGAGGAAUAUAAGUAAGCAAACACCAAAGAAGAUAUAAAUGGAGGAGGACCUUGGACAUCCAUUAUGGAAAAAAUAUCAAUGGGAUUCCACUUUUUCACCUAGCAUCUUAGGACAAGAUCCAUGUUUCAGAUAAAAACAUCACAAAAAGAGUCCUUUUUGGGUGCAAAAUUCAUCAUCAAGGAAAAUUAAAAGUUAAAACAGAGGAUUUAGAAAAGAAAAGAGAAAAAAAAAACCUUCUGCAUAUGAUAUUUACAAGAAACCAAAAUAGAUUUCAUUUAAAGACAAGGUGGACAGCAAAAUAGAUUUCAAGUAAUGAUCUUUUCAGUUGGUGUCCAAGUGCAAUGAGUAGUAGUGGUAUCAUAGCUCAAAAUGAAAGACAACGAAGUUUAGUUCUUACCAUCAUGCAGGUCCCUGCACGGACAUUGCAGACGGGAUAUUCCUGGGGGCAGCAGCUAUCAUGAUCUUCACAGCAGGUGGCAGCCUCAAGUGGGCAGCAUCCCCAUUGAAAGCAAUACUUAGCAUACUCAAAGAUGCAGCAGCAGGUGCUGCUCUCAGGACAUGCGUAGUAGUUAUCACAGACAGUUGGGGGCUUUAUUGGAGAGGGAGGAGACGGGCCAGGGUUGGGCGGGUUUUGGCCUUUUUUGAUAGGGUAAGAGGCUUCCAUAGCAAUUCCACACUUCCCUGUCGCACUAGUAGCAAGAUCACGCUCCAUCCUGAUAUAUCCUUCCUCUCCCCAGCUGGCACCCCAUGAGUUCUUUACAAUCCAGUAAUCCACACCAUUUUCUGUGCCAUAUCCAACAGCAGUAACACCAUGGUCCAGUGCUGUCCCACAUCUUCCAGUAAAUAUACCCUGAAGAGAUUGGGAAACAAAUAAAAAGAACCAAGUUAGAAAGGCAACUAUUUCAUGGUACAACAGGAUCACAUGGAAGAAACUGUUCUCAGUAUAACUUUUAUAUAAUUAUUCAACUUAUCCUGGGAUAGCUAUGCAGAGGGUCACCAAUUGAAGAAAGAAAUUUGGGAUCCGUACACCAUAAUCUACUGUAGUGGAACUUCCAAAAGAAAUAUCAUUACAAUAACAUAUUAUGCUUAAUUUUUUUUUGAUUGGUAACAUAUUAUGCUUAAUGAUACAGGAUCUUUGCCUCAUUUGGAGAAAAUAUAAUAUAACCAGAGAAAGAACUUUACCGAUUGGUAGAGUUGGAAUUCCCUGCCACCUGCUUCAAUGGCAACGCUCACUGGUUGAUUUGCCACUGCCUUUUCAAGUGACUUCUCAUCAUUCUCAGGAACAUCUUCAUACCCAUCGAUUGUAACAACC